UAGGGAAUCUUCCGCAAUGGGCGAAAGCCUGACGGAGCAACGCCGCGUGAGUGAAGAAGGUCUUCGGAUCGUAAAACUCUGUUAUUAGGGAAGAACAAAUGUGUAAGUAACUAUGCACGUCUUGACGGUACCUAAUCAGAAAGCCACGGCUAACUACGUGCCAGCAGCCGCGGUAAUACGUAGGUGGCAAGCGUUAUCCGGAAUUAUUGGGCGUAAAGCGCGCGUAGGCGGUUUUUUAAGUCUGAUGUGAAAGCCCACGGCUCAACCGUGGAUGUUCAUUGGAAACUGGAAAACUUGAGUGCAGAAGAGGAAAGUGGAAUUCCAUGUGUAGCGGUGAAAUGCGCAGAGAUAUGGAGGAACAACAGUGGCGAAUGCGACUUUCUGGUCUGUAACUGACGCUGAUGUGCGAAAGCGUGGGGAUCAAACAGG
rnacentral:rRNA from 1 species